GCCAGCUUGGCUAGUGGUUUGAGCACUGGACUAUGACUCUGGAAACCAGGGUUCAAUCCCCAGCUCGGACA